ACCUCACAACUUUAGUAUGUGAUUGAUAGAUGGGUUUGAGUAUUUAGGAGUCGUUCCUUAAUGAACUAAUUAGACUUAAAAUUUGGUGAUGCAUUGGAAAUAAAAAUGAUGAAUAUUUAGAAUUUAUUAUAAGAGAGUUUGUUACGAAGAGUGAUUAGUUACAAGGGAACAAAGGAAGACUACUACUUAGAUAAGAAUAGUAAACCUAGUGAGGAUUUGUCUAAUUGACGUUUAUUUUAUUACAUGAUCGUCUAUGCCAACGAUGAUAUCUGAAGACGCGAGUCAAGGGCAUAAGUAGGAUUUCUCCGAAGUACUAGUACCAAAGCUAAGAUUUCCAGGAUGAGCAAGGAGAGAGAUUGGGGAAUCGCUGGAGGGCUGUUGUUCAUAGACGACCCUUUUGAGUACCGUAUUUUACUUCUAUACGGUUGUGCGAAUAGUUGAAGACUAUGUUCUUGAAACUUAAUUAGGAUUGUUACUCUCAGCUAUAUGUCUUCAUACAUAUAGUCUGAUCACGCUAUGUUGUGCUACCCUGAACAAUAUGAAUCAUUGUAACUAUUUAGCUAUACUCCCUUUGUUUAUGUUGACUAGAACCUUGAUACAUUUGAAUGAAUGAAGCUGAUAAUGUUUCUUUUA